AAGGGUCAGAGGUCAUAGCAUAAAAUUAUUUCGUGCUAAAAUUAGUUUCAACUUUCAACACUGCAGCAGAUUGAAAGGGUUAAAUUUCUCCAUUUUGGACCAAAGAAAACAGAAGUAAACAAUAGUCUAAGAAAUUUCCUUUUAGCUGAAGUACCUAAUGCCCGUCCAUGGUUAUAGCCUGGUUUCUAAAUAAAAUUUGGACCUCCUUAGUUAUUUGGGUUAUAAUUUGUUUAUGUUCGAGUCAGUCAAACAAUGACAUCAGAAAUUAUUUUCCCGUUAAAAAAACCCGAUUUUCAAAUCUCAUAAAGUGCUUAACAAAUUGCAGCUUAGUUAUGCCUUAUAAUCAAAGGAUUUUGUUUAUAUAAAUAUAAGGUCAUGUCCACAGCUCAAUAUCAGAGUGGGGAAAGCAUUAUAUAAAAAUCAAAUCACAAAAAAAAUCGUAAAUUCAGCCACCUCAAUAUCAAAAUUUAAGUUUCAUAAUAAGAGCAUAUAGUAUAGAUCCAGGACAACAAAAGUAGCAUCGAACUAUGGCAUCUGCUAACUACCAUUAAAACUAAAACCAGAGGAACAAAAAUCCACAAUUUUUUUACUUAAUACAGAGAAAAACCAUCGGUGACCAUCUAGCGCAAUCUUCUUGCUUCUCUCUCAGACUCAAGUAGGGUGAGAAUGUCACCUUCUCUCACUGGUCCCUUCACAUUCCUCAUGAUGUGGCGGUUCUGAUCAUCC